rnacentral:lncRNA from 1 species
CUUUGGAGCCUUCGCGGUGACGAGCAGCCGGGCGAAGCGGCCCUCCUCCUCACGACAGCCCGAGGAGGGGGUCAGGGUCAUUUUCAGACAGCCCCCUCUGGCUUCCUCUUCACACCCUGCUCUAGAUGGAGGAGAGAGGUACGCCCAGCCCGGCUCAGCUAAAAGCAGGGAGAAGAGCCCGGCCGAGACCUGGAAGCCUCGGCUUGGGAGGAGCUGGUCCGACGGACCCUUCCUGCCCCGGUUUGUCCGGACUCCGGAUCUCCGGGUAGGAGCCAGAAGAAAGCGCAUUCCAGGGAUUUCAAGCGAACUAUACUUAAAAUCUUGGAGGUGGGAAAUGUAGGGUGCGACUGAGCCUCUCCCGCCUUCAGGCCUGGCAACUCUGGGUCGGCGCUCCUGGAACCUCACAUCUCGGGUGUGAGCAACCUAGGACACAAAACGCGGGGAUGGCUUGGAAGCCCGUGGGCAGGCGAAACCGGGAGUUCUGGCAGCGGCUCAGCCUCCCCCUCCUCCUCCCUCCCCCUCCCUCCCCCUCCCCUGCCUUCCCCCGGGAGCAGCGGGAAAUUAUUUAUUAAAACGCCGCCCGCGCUCUCAUUUAUUUGCGGUGAAUAA